ensembl:snRNA U1 U1 spliceosomal RNA
AUACCUACCUGGCAGGGAAGACAGCAGGACCACAAAGGUGGUUUCCCAGGUGAGGCUUAUCCAUUGCACUCCAGACGCGCAGACCUUCAGUUUCCCCAAAUGAGGGAAAUUGCAUAAUUUGUGGUGGUGGUGGUGGGGAAUGCAUUUGUGCUCUCCCCUG